UCCCCGUUCGUCUAAUGGCAGGACAGCGGCCUUUGGAGCCGUGAAUCGUGGUUCGAGUCCACGGCGGGGAA
rnacentral:tRNA from 1 species